rnacentral:lncRNA from 1 species
UCUCUGAACACCGAAUUUCUGAGUUGAUAUGAAAGAGUCAAGCAGGACACGAAUGGCCAUGUUAACAUCAUCUUCUGUGACAUACUGUCUAAGGUGCAUCCUAGCAUUUGCUUCAGACAUUCGGAUCAUUGACUCCAGGUGCCUUGUCGCAAUAGAGACCCCUUGUCCGUUCUGAACAAAAGAUUAAGCAGGCGAAGAGAUUAUGCCGGGAUGAUGUUUGAGAAAGACGGUAACCAUCAGUACCAAUUAAAAUCAUGAACCCUUACCAUUGAUUCUCUUCUUAGAUUAGCAUAAACAGUUUCCAACUUCUUGGCAUCUAUUUCACUCAGUUUAGGGAAUACAUACAACUUCGAGUAUGUUAAGUAUUUCCUAAGCAAGUUCUGGGGAAGAACCUGCAGAGAAUACAAGAAAAUAACACUGCUGUCAAGACAUGGAAACAUCAAUGAAGCAGCUACAUUUGAAAAUCACAAACCUCGGGAUCAGAAGAACCGCUAGAUCCAUGAUUGUCAUCUUGGGGCUCGCUAUCAUCCAUUUUACCACCUUUAGGCUGUGAUUUGAAGUGACUAUUGACAACAAAUUCAGCAAGCAUUUCAUCUGUCACUGGGUCAACCACAUCCUGCAGCCAUAUAAUGGGGGUAACUCAUGUCAAUAACCAAAAAAAGUUAACGUAAUCAGUGAUCACAAGAAUGAGAAGUAUAUGUUUAGAAAAAAGACCUUGACAACACAAAGGAUAUCAAAACGAGAAAGGAUCGGAUCUGUCAACUCCACAUUCUGUGCAAAUGAUUUGGAUGAAUCGUACCUGAAAUUGUAAUACCACAAACAUAUAACAACACUCAUAAGAGAGAUUAGUCAGUGGAUUGGGAGCCCUUGAUAUUUUUGUACCUUCCACCAACUGGAUUAGCUGCAGCAAUAACAGAGCAACGAGCUUGCAGAGAAGUAACAAUUCCUGCCUUCGAUAUACUAAUACUCUGCUGUUCCAUGGCUUCAUGGAUACUCACCCUGGUAAUAAAACAUAGGCCAUCAUCAUCAUUUUCUCCAGCAAAGGUAAAUUAAAAUUAGUUGCAUUUUGUUACCUGUCCUGAUCAUUCAUCUUAUCAAACUCAUCGAUAAGACAGAUUCCUCGGUCAGCAAGUACAAGAGCCCCUCCUUCAAGGGUCCACUCCCUUGUAACUGGAUCCUUGUGUACUGCUGCAGUCAGACCAACAGCAGAAGCUCCCUUCCCAGUCGUGUAGACAGCUCUCUGGCCCGUUUUCUCAACAUAUCUAGAAGAAAAUAUUUGCUGUUAGUGGAAUGCUCGUUACAGGAAGUCAGAGAAGAAAAUAUACUUACUUCAGAAAUUGUGAUUUUGCUGUUCCUGGAUCUCCUAGUAGAAGUACAUUAAUGUCUCCACGCAAUCUGUGUUUCCCUUUAAUGUUUUUCUCCUGGCCUCCAAACAUAGCAAGAGCAAUAGCUGUUUUGAUAUCUUCGUGUCCAUAUAUUGACGGAGCAAUUGACUUAAUGAUCUGAGAGAUAUAUCUUAAAAUACCAAAAUCUAUAAGAUUUCUGUGACCAACUCAAAGCCGGUUCUAAUUCGUCACAGAGGUGCCUAAGGCUCAAAGUUUAGAUUUCAAGGUAGACAAACGAGUUAAAAUCUUAGAACAACUUAUGAUCUUCACUUGAAACCAAACAAUCUUCUAAAAGUCCAACAAUAUUCGAAUGUCUAGUGAAAACUCAAGUAGGUUUUUAGUAGCCAGAAGCUUUUGCCUUGUUGGUUACCAAGUGACUAACCUUCUAGGAAAUUUGAUCACUCCUAGACCAUGAUCCAACUCGAAAUGAGCUUUGGCAAAAUCUUUGCUCGAAAAGAACGGCCGUAAAUCUGCGAGGUCGUAUUCGUUGGCCUGCAAUUGUAGACACAAACAGUUAUAAGAACCAUACUUCUAUCUAUAUAACCAACCCCAUAUGGCUUUUAGAAUAGCAUGAACUUUACCUUCGUCUGCAGCUCCUCUAUCUUAACUUCGAUAGAAGAUAGUCCCGAGUUUGAUCCCGUAAUGAUUUCUUCAAACUUCAAAGCAUUCUUCACUAGCUCUUUCAGAAGAACGAGCAGCAGUGAGUUGUAGUCCUUUUUGUAUGUAAUGUAUCGUUUAAAACUCUGCACAUGAAUAACUGAGUUUUCAUCAAUGCAGAUAUAAGAAUCCGAAGAAGCUCACUGAAAAGUUUGUGCAUACCUCUCUCAGGGUUCUCUGAACACCGAAUUUCUGAGUUGAUAUGAAAGAGUCAAGCAGGACACGAAUGGCCAUGUUAACAUCAUCUUCUGUGACAUACUGUCUAAGGUGCAUCCUAGCAUUUGCUUCAGACAUUCGGAUCAUUGACUCCAGGUGCCUUGUCGCAAUAGAGACCCCUUGUCCGUUCUGAACAAAAGAUUAAGCAGGCGAAGAGAUUAUGCCGGGAUGAUGUUUUGAGAAAG